UGAUGCAGCGACGCCGCGUGAGGGAUGACGGCCUUCGGGUUGUAAACCUCUUUCAGCAAUGAAGAAGCGAAAGUGACGGUACCUGCAGAAGAAGCGCUGGCUAACUACGUGCCAGCAGCCGCGGUAAUACGUAGGGCGCAAGCGUUGUCCGGAAUUAUUGGGCGUAAAGAGCUCGUAGGCGGCUUGUCGCGUCGGAUGUGAAAGCCCGGGGCUUAACCCCGGGUCUGCAUUCGAUACGGGCAGGCUAGAGUGUGGUAGGGGAGAUCGGAAUUCCUGGUGUAGCGGUGAAAUGCGCAGAUAUCAGGAGGAACACCGGUGGCGAAGGCGGAUCUCUGGGCCAUUACUGACGCUGAGGAGCGAAAGCGUGGGGAGCGAACAGGAUUAGAUACCCUGGUAGUCCACGCCGUAAACGUUGGGAACUUGGUGUUGGCGACAUUCCACGUCGUCGGUGCCGCAGCUAACGCAUUAAGUUCCCCGCCUGGGGAGUACGGCCGCAAGGCUAAAACUCAAAUGAAUUGACGGGG
rnacentral:rRNA from 1 species